UUCGCGUUCAAUGUUGGCUUUGAGCUCUUC
rnacentral:sRNA from 1 species